rnacentral:tRNA from 1 species
GGCUCGUUGGUCUAGGGGUAUGAUUCUCGCUUAGGGUGCGAGAGGUCCAGGGUUCAAAUCCCGGGUGAGCCC